rnacentral:rRNA from 1 species
UCGCCGUGAAGAUGCGGUGUACCCGCGGCUAGACGGAAAGACCCCGUGAACCUUUACUAUAGCUUGACACUGAACAUUGAAUUUUGAUGUGUAGGAUAGGUGGGAGCCUUUGAAGCAGUGACGCCAGUCAUUGUGGAGGCGACCUUGAAAUACCACCCUUUAACGUUUGAUGUUCUAACGAAGUGCCUGAAACGGGUACUCGGACAGUGUCUGGUG